GAUGAAGAACGCAGCGAAAUGCGAUAAGUAGUGUGAAUUGCAGAAUUCAGUGAAUCAUCGAAUCUUUGAACGCACAUUGCGCCCCUUGGUAUUCCAUGGGGCAUGCCUGUUCGAGCGUCAUUUCAACCAUCAAGCCCUGCUUGUGUUGGGGUCCUGCGGCUGCCCGCAGGCCCUGAAAACCAGUGGCGGGCUCGCUAGUCACACCGAGCGCAGUAGCACAUCUCGCUCAGGGCGUGCGGCGGGCUCCAGCCGUUAAAGCACCCACCUUUCGCAAGGUUGACCUCGGAUCAGGUAGGAAUACCCGCUGAACUUAAGCAUAUCAAUAAGCGGAGGA
rnacentral:misc_RNA from 1 species